GCUGCUAUAGCUCAGUUGGUAGAGCGUGCGGCUGUUAACCUCAAGGUCGCUGGUUCAAACCCAGCUGGGAGAG
rnacentral:tRNA from 1 species